rnacentral:rRNA from 1 species
CGAGUGAACCGGGAAAAGCUCAAAUUUGUAAUCUGGCUGUCUUCGAUAGUCCGAGUUGUAAUCUAUAGACGUGUUUUCCGUGCUGGACCGUAUCUAAGUCCCUUGGAACAGGGUAUCAAAGAGGGUGACAAUCCCGUGCUUGAUACGACCACCAGUGCUCUGUGAUACACGCUCUACGAGUCGAGUUGUUUGGGAAUGCAGCUCAAAAUGGGUGGUAAAUUCCAUCUAAAGCUAAAUAUUGGCGAGAGACCGAUAGCGAACAAGUACCGUGAGGGAAAGAUGAAAAGCACUUUGGAAAGAGAGUUAAACAGUACGUGAAAUUGUUGAAAGGGAAACGAUUGAAGUCAGUCGUGUUCUUUGGAUUCAGCUAGUUCUUCUAGUCUACUUCCAUUGAACGGGUCAACAUCAGUUUUGUCCGGUGGAUAAAGAUAGUAGGAAUGUAGCUCCCCCGGGAGUGUUAUAGACUAUUAUUGCAUACACUGGGUGAGACUGAGGACUGCAGCUCGCCUUUUGGCCGGUCUUCGGACACGUUCGAGCUUAGGAUGUUGACAUAAUGGCUUUAAACGACCCGUCUUGA